rnacentral:lncRNA from 1 species
AAAACUAAUUAACCAAUUAGUGUCUAAGGUAAGUUUGGCAGAUUCGAUCAAAUAGUUUUUGAUUGGGAGCUAUUCACCUAGAUGCAUCUACAGUGAGUCAAUGAUAGAUCCCUCCUGCUGAUCUCACUUACCUGGCCAAUAUGGUAGAUUAUAUUUUGAUUAGGUCACUAGUCGAUUCGUGUAAACCCAUGCCAUUAAGGUGAAUCAGUAUGACUGAUUUAGGUGUCUUCAGGCCAGCUUGUGUUUAAUCCUUUAUAUAACUUGGUGAAGUCAGUGGAAGGAUUUGUAGCUUGC